UUGAUGUUGGUUCCCCGCAGGUUUUUUGGGGCAUGUGGGUCUUUAAUUUGUGGACGACGGCGAGAAGCGCAGCGAGGUUACGGUGCAGUACCUCACUGUAGAUUCCCCUCCCGCUCUUCGUCCACAGAUUGAGGCGUUGUGAACCAGUUUUUGGAUUUGCCAAAGUGCGUGUGUUGAGUUGCUGCAGGCGUGAGCAUGAGUUGCAGGAAGAUGUGGUAUGAGUUCGUCAGAGUUUGCCGUACGAUAGUUGGUAGAUCCUUUCCCACAAAGCGUGUAUUUUGUUGUUGUACAAAAACUUGCCUAACUAUUGAUUUGUAGUUGCCUGAAAUGUUCGUUAGUUUUGCCAUCUCAUAGAGGUGCUACAAAAACUUGAUGGAAAUUUUGAUUACUCAGAACCCAGAAACUUUGUUGCACACCAAUGCGCUCAUGGAGAUAUGAACUAGCCUACUUUCAUAUCUACCCACAGCUUGCCUAAUGUUUUUGUAUAUCUGCACAAAGCUUGCCUAACGAUUUUGUUAGCUGGUUGCCUGAUAUGGUUCAAAACUUGUUAGUUUCUCGAAGGAUGAGUCCAUCCAGAGGAGGAGGCAGAGCAUCCAAAGGAUCGACCCUGCGCCUCACGCAGGGUGAGUCCCCCGCCCUCCCUAUCGUUUCUUGAAGUAGCUGAUGCAGAUUCAUCCCGAUUUUUUGACGUGAUUUUUGUUCGGUGAGAGUUUGUCGCUAGCGGGGCAGGGGUGAUUUGAAUUGGUCACCUUGAUUCCGCGAGAAGCGUUUUUGUCAUCUCCAAUCCAUAGUUGGUCAGCCAAGGAAAGCAUUGCUGGCAUGAUGUCUUGUUGUAUCUUGUUGUACUAGAGAAUGUGAUUGUUUCCGUUGCAUAUGUCGCUGAGAAGUGCCGCAGCUGCAUCCAUCUCGAGACCAUUAUCGUUUCUAUGGUUUGCUGUCCCAG
rnacentral:lncRNA from 1 species